UGGUGACGGUUGGUUAGGAGGAGAGGACUGAGGAAGACAGAAGGACAGAGCUCAGGGCCAGAGUUUCUGUCAUAUUCUUUGUCUCUCUAUGUGAACAUAUAUACCUAUCCUGCACUCGCGAGGCUACGUGACCAAGAAGUUAUUUACUUAUAGCAGGCACGUUUGAGACUUUUCUGCAACUUAAUUCUGGACUCAGACUGCAGAGUUCUUGGAAGGACAUUGGGACAAGCCUACUGGUGUGAGAACAUGGAGCAGCAGUGCAACACUGACUGCAGGAACAGUCCAUGCAGCAUGAGUGAAAGGGUCAGCCACAUAUAAAUAUCCCUACCGACACCUGUUCAGCAAAACCCAAUAAUUAGGGUUGUCUACCACAUGUUGGCCACAUUACAGUGAAUUUUUCUCUAUUCAGUAUACUGGGUUUCUGGACAUUCACAAAUUUUAUCUGGGAUUGUCAGCCUCAGCAUUCACACAAGGAUGUUGAUAUUCAACCAAUUUUGGACUUUCCCUGUAAUACAGGAGUGGAAGAAUAAGGAAGAGGAGGUGACUGAGUCCCAUACACCGUAGCAGGAAAAACCUGUUUCUUGUCCUCUUACAACCCAGUCACUAGGGAGAAUACACCAAUGGCACCUGAGCACUUUCAUUUUUGUCAUUCUGUAUUAACAUAUAUUGAUAUAAUCAUACCAAAUAUCUCCUUAUAUACUGUAUAAGAACAUGUGCUGGAUUUUCAUUUUGUCAAUUAUAGUUUUAAAGCCAAGAACCAAAUUUCAAAAAAUGUUUGGAUUCUUACAAGAUUCGUUAUCAAUGUAUUUGUCUUACCAUACCAAUUACAAAUGGGAAAUUCCUAGUAGUUUUAUUUACAAAUUCGUAGCUGCCAUGCUCACAUUUUCUCCGUGAGACAGUACACAACCAGUCAGUGACAUCUGGUUAUAUACAGCACCCAGAACAGACUCUUAUAGACAUCCAUGAAGUCGGCUUAAUUGAAAUAUCUUUCCAUCUAUAAACAGGAAUGCACAUUUUCUUUCAGAAUAGCAAGGUUUCCUUCAAUUAAAUGAUUGGUAAAUGUAGUGCUUCAUCAUAAAGAGAUUUUACCAGUGUUUGGUGGAUUAAAAGAACUAUGGUCAUUAGCUAGUUCUUCAUAGAACUACUGUGACCUGAAGGGGGGAAAAACAAUGCAGACAACAAUCUUAU